AAGUUAAACACAACUCAAGAAGGACCCUUGGGCCAAAUCAAAGUGGAAGUCCUCCAAACGAAUAUUUUUAAGAAAACGUUUUCGGGUGACCUGACUUUGGGGGGCAAAAACGGUAUUAUAUGUUUGGAAUUUGGAAAAAUACCAAGAAUUAGAAGUUGUAGAUAAUUGAAUUAUCUUUCCAACCAUAGGUCGUGGGUUCCCAGGUGACGUCGGUACAAGGAGAUAUGGACGUUUUAAGGUCGAAAGGUCAGUGGGCUAGGCCCAACUCGGGACCAACCGAGUUGGCCCAAAAAAAUGAAAAGAAAAAUUUAGGCCCAAGGUGAGAGGGUGGCCGGCCAUACCUGGUCCAAGCCCACCAAAUUAAUUAAUUUCCAUGUGGCAAAUUAAUUAUAAAGGGAUCAUUAUCCCUUAGAUGAUUCAAGAAACUUAGAAGGAGAAAGAACAAACAAAACAAGAGCAAAAAAAAGGGCCAUUUCGGGUUUGGCCAUAGAAAAUUCACCCCUCCAAAUCUUCCUCCAAAAAUUAUUUUCUUGUGGUAUUCCUACUAAUUUAAGGGUCCUUUACAACUUGGUGUAAUUGUUUUGGAAGAAGGAGCACUUAUUUCUUCAAGUUGACAACUUGUUCAAGUGAAGGAGUUGUAGAAAAAGGUAAGAAUCAAUUUCUUUUUCUUAUGUUAUGAAGGUUUGUUUAUGUUGUGGUAUGUGGAAAUGAGUAGAAAUUAUGGAAAUAAGGAAGUUUGCAAAGUGGGUAUGUAUAUAUAUAUGUAGCCAUGAGUGUAUAUAUGUUGUAUACAUAUAUGAGUUGAAUUUUAUGUUGUAUUAGUUGUGGUUAUGGUGAAAAUUAUAUUGGGAAUGAAAGUUGAAUGAAUUUUGGUUGAAGUUGGAAUGUAGAAGAUUAUGUCACUUUAGAAUGAUUUUGUGAUAUUAUGGAAAUGAAGUUGUUAAGAUGUGAAUUAUGAUUAUGGUUGAUGAAAUUGGAAGAUGGAAAUAUGUUAUGAAUAUGUAGGUUGAAGAUUUGAAGUUUUGGGUGAAUUAUGUUUUGGUGGAAAGUUUGUAUAUUUUGUAUAUCUUGUGAAUAUUUCGUAGAAAUGAUAUGAAAUAUUUCCAAAUUAUAUUGUGAUGAUCUAGAUUAAUGAUGAAUGUGAAACCAUUGAGAUUAGUUUGGAAAUUGAAGUUGAAAUGAAGGUUAUGACAUUAUGUUGGAAAGAUAGCUAGUUAAGUUAUAUUGUGUUUAUAGUGAUUGUUGUUGUUGUUGAUGUUGUUGUUGGGUUGUUGUUGAUUGUUUUGGCCGAGUUAAAUUCUCGGGGAUGCUAUAUGUAUAGGGGAGAUGCUGCCCAAAUUUCUGUAGGCAAUUAUGAAUAAAGAUUGAAUACUUAAAGAUUGGAAAUUGAGAAUUGGUAAAUGUGACCAAUUGCAGAUUUUGGGCGAAACGGGAAUUGAAUUUGGAAAGGCGUAAAGAGCAUAUAAGGUACCGACGACAGGUUUGCUGAUCCGUCCGCUUAGGAUCUUAUUCUGCUAUUUUGGAGCGCUCCUUUAUCCGGAGCCUAUAUUUUGGUACAAUCUUCUGCUAUUGUAUAUAUGUACGCUAUUCAGGGGUACGACGGGGCCCUGUCCCAUCUUAUGAUUCUGUUAUGUUCUGUAGAGGUCUGUAGACAGACUUGUGUGGGUUCUGUAUAUGUUUUGGGUUGUUAUGAUCGGUGAUGGCCUUAUCGGCCUCUACGUGCAAAAUCUGUUCAUCUGUGAUAUUUAGUAGCGCCAACUAACCUUUAUAUUAAUAUAUUUUGAUAA